rnacentral:lncRNA from 1 species
GUAACCUAUCUUUAAAAACAUUUGAAAAAAGCAUUUGGCAAAGCGGUCCAAAAAAACCGCUUUGCCGCUUUAAACGCUAAAAGCGUCUCUUUUUAAUCACUGGAUCUGAUAAUAAUUAUUGAAGAAGCAGAACCAUUGAGAAGCUGAUGAAUAAAAACUGAGUAUUAUUAUUUUCAUUUGAAAAUUGGAAUGAUCUAUAAAAACUAAAAACUGAUGGAAUCAAAUGACAACCGAAUGAUCCAUAUUCCUUAGUCGUCUUGGACUCAGACUAAAAUUAAGUUAUUCCUUGUUUGAUAUAAAAAGGGUCCUAUAUAAAAUCCAUGGCCCAAUUAUUAUGGGCUUUAAUUGGUUUACAGUUCUUAUUUCCGUUUCACUUCUUAUCAUAGGUUGCCGCUCCUUCCGAACAGUAACACAGAUUCCGCGCUGCAGAUUAUUUCCGUUUCACUUCUUUUUUGCCGAUCCAAUCCAAAUCUAAAUCCGUUCAAGGUAAUUUUAUCAAAUUCAACGUGUUUUUUUGUUUGUUUCAAUCAAUUUCACAUUUGAGAGUUGGGACUGAACCUUGAUCUAUGUACCAUUCUUCCUGUAAAACCCUAACGUGCUUUAUUACGUAUUUAUGUAUAUUCUGGGAAUCGAUUUUUCUUCUUCUAUUAUGGAAAGUUUCAAAUCGCCACAUAAUAAGUUUCAUUUAUAAUAUCUUCUUCACUUCAUAUUGAGGUUAAAUUGAUCUUCCUAAUAUAAUUGGUUUUGGUUUUCUUCGUGGUCUUGUUUUAAUUUUUUCCCAUCGUGUUUUUGUUUCAUAUUGAAUUUCCGCCCUUUUAAUUUUAUUUUUGGGUCUUACUACAUCAAAUCUGUUGUUUGUAUUCUUCGUUUUUUUAAAAAAAAAAUUCCCCUUUUACUUUUAACAGUUUACUAUUGUGAGUGUUAUUGAUGGUCUUCAUAGGAAAUGAUUUCUUGCUUUUAUGUUGAAGUUAAAAUCUUCCAUCGUCUUCUACUUGUUCUUCCUUUUAAUUUUCCCAAAUUUACUUUACAAUUUUUUGCUUCUACUUUGAACUGUUUACUUUUGUGGGAGUUCUUCCUAGUCUUCAUCUUCUACAUUUUACAUUUAAAUUACUUUAUCUUAAUGUUAUUGAACUUUCCUCUUUUCAUUUUAAUUCCUUAAAUUUUUCAUCAUGUUAUUCUUCUCUUUCGUAGUUCAUGGUUUAUUUUUUUUUUAAAAAAAUCUGUAAAUGUUCUUAUCAUAGGUAAUCCUUGGUCUGUACUGCAAAUCCAUGUUUUCAUAAUCCAUUCUUUGUGAUUUCGAACAAAGUCUAUUUAAACUGAUUCAAAAGAAAUAAUUUUGGUUAUAAUUUUAUCUUUGUUAGUCUUAUUCAAUUUCAAGAACCUCAGGCUUUUGAAGUUAUUAAGAUGAUGAUAUUUUAGAUUUAAAAAAUUGUUACUUAACCUGACCAAUAACCAUUCAGAAAGAAAUUUAGGAAUAAACAUUCAAACCUUUGGAUGUUUUUAGACCAGUAGCUCUUGAAGGCUCUGGACUAGCUCUAAUACCAAUACAAUUCAUAUGAGUAGCUCUUGAGCUUCUCUAGACCAGCACACAGUCCAUGAACUUCAUCAAAUCCCAAUUACCUCUACAUGACCAAUGAUU